GAGUCGCUGCGAGCCGGCCUCAGGCAGGCCGCGGCCUCCUGGCGCGGGGCUGACCGCUGAGCAGAGCUGAGCCGACUCAGGGGAGGGAGCAUGUGGCUGCGACUGCGGUGACAGGGCCGUGGCCCGCUGUGGAGGCGCAAGACAGAGCGUGAGACGUAGGAAAUGCACAUUUGAAAUGUAUGGCAACAACUUCUGCAGCCGGCGAAACGCGAACCGUGGCCUCUUGGCCUUGCCCCCUCACCGCCGCGGCUCUCGUUGCAGUCAAGAGUGCCUGGCACGCUUUGCACUGAGGCGCACGGGGAGGCCCGGGAACCGAGCGAGCGGCAGUUUCGCGGGACACCGCUGGGCCCCGCCUCCCCUCCCUUCCCUCCCCUCCCCUUCCCUCCUCUCCCUCCACUCCCCUCCCCUCCGUCCCCUCCCCUCGACCACCCCGUCCCCUGCCCUCCCCUUCUCUCGACCAGCCCGUCCCCUGCCCUCCCCUCCCCUCCCCUCGACCAGCCCGUCCCCUCCCCUCCUCUUCCCUCGGCCAGCCCCUCCCCUCGGCCAGCCCUUCCCCUCGACCAACCCCUCUCCUCGACCGGCCCCUCCCCUCGACCGGCCCCUCCCCUUGGCCGGGCCCUCCCCUUGACCGGCCCCUCCCCUCGACCGGCCCCUCCCCUCGGCCGGCCCCUUCCCUCGGCCAGCCCCUCCCCUCGACCAGCCCCUCCCCUCGACCAGCCCCUCCCCUCACCAGCUCAGCUUUCCGCAGCUCCUCCCGCGAGGUCCCGCCCAUCCGACAGCCCGCCCCUCCCUGGUUGGUCCCGCCCUCCGCAGUUUCUCCCGCAAGGUCCCGCCUACCCGACAGUCCCGUCCUUUCCUGGUUGGUCCCGCCCUCCGCAGCUUUUGCCGCGAGGUCCCACCCACCCGACAGCCCCGCCCCUCUCCAGUCGGCCCCGCCCUCCGCAGCUCCUUCCGCGAGGUCACGCCCACAUGCGCAGCCCCUCUCCUCCGGCGUCGGCCCCGCCCACCGAGGCGAGGCCUCAAAGACUUGGUGGCCGCUGCGCCAAUAGGAUUUUAUUUUUAUUCUUUAAUUUGGCUUGAUCAUAAAUGGUGAGGAAACCUCUGCAUGACUGGGAGUCACCUGAUUUCUCUCAGCUUGUUAAUAGCUGUGAGGAGAGGGUGUCCAAGGGAAAAACGUUAACUUUUCAAUACAAUACUUCCGCGGUCCACCUCGUGCCCAAAACUAUUGAAGACGCUAAGGACAGGCGUCCCAGAUUGCAGAAAUGCAUUAGGUAGUAAGACUCUAGGAGCGUACGGAUUUCACGUGCGAGAGGCAUUGGUGCUUCACCUGUGAUGAUGAAGGAGCUGCAUCUUAACUGGCAGCUUAAAAAUCAUCGCGUUCUCUUAGCCCCCGGAGUUUUGUUCUUGGAAGUUUCCAGGCAAAGCAUUUUCCAUUAUUCUCAGCAGUUCUGCAAUGAGAAAGCUGAAAGACGGGGUAAGAAAAAAAAGAUCUAAAGGGAGGAAUGUUGUGGGAGGUCCAGAAAGUAAGUUCUGUCUGCGGGUAUCUGAAUGUCUGCCGGCUCUUAGACGAAUAUCUGUAGGUAAGCAGGACAGUCUCAACUAUUUGUGCGGAAUAAGUGGCUUUUUUAUUAAUAAUUUAAGUGGGUUAAUGGUGUCUCCAAAACAAUUUUGAGGAUAGAGCGAUGCCCCUAGUUAACUUAAUAACAUUUUAAAAAUAAAAUAUGUGCUGUCAAUUUAAUAAGUCCAGGAUAUAUCCAUAUCAAAAAGGAGUAGCUCUGAAACUAUUGGUUUAUGGCCAUGAACUCUUAGGGAGGCUUAGAGGCAUCUCUGAGACAAUCCUUUGCCACCCAAAUCCUUGUAUCAUAUCUCCUGAUCCGGUGUUGCAUACAAUUCAUUCAUUCGACCCACAUUUGUUGGAUAACUACUAUGUGCAAAGCAUGAUGCCAGAAAUUUCAUGGUGAACAAGGCACUACCCUUGUCCUCAAGCAGUUCACAUGCUUGCAUGGAAAUAGAAAAAACCAGCAAUCAGAAGGACAUGACAUGUGACAAGUCUACAGGACUGGGGUGAGGGGGGUCAGGCUUGGAAGCAUGACAGAGCACUGCACAGGACGUUUUGUUAUGGCCGGAGAUGAGACUGAAGGAACAGCGACGCUGAAUUAAGACUGGUAGACCUUGCCAAGAUAUUGUACUUCUUUUUGAAUGCAUUUCAGGGUCACUGACAGAUACUGAAGUGGGGAGUGAUGUACUCACAUUUGCAUUUUAGAAGACAUCGGUGGCAGGAGUGUGGAGGAGGUGAGGGUGGAAGUAAAAGCAGGAGGCAGAAAGAGCAAUCAGCAUCCAGCUAUGGUUCAGGUGCGUGCCAGGGAGGCAUCUCCACAGCAACGGGGGGAAGGAUCGCCGACGCGACAGAGAGCCAGAAUCGAGGAUAAAAAGCGAAUGCUCAUGCUUGUAGUUUGGGCAACACAGUGAAUGAUGAGGAAGGGAUGCAAGUGGAGGGCAGGUUUGCAAGGGAACAAGAUUCCAGUUUGGGACACGUUGCUGUGUCCGCAAAAUGUAGGUAGAGGUGUCCAAGAUGGCAACUGGAAAUAUAGCAUAGAGGACUAGUUGCAUGUCAGGUUAGAGGUUUCUCAGGUCAGUUUAGAGUUUUAGGGAAAGCAUAGGGACAGGGUACAAGCAAAGCUGCCUGAUUAACAUCCAGUGACCUUGAAACCAUAGCAACCAGAGAAAUCUGACUCAACACCAUUACCUGUACAACUGCAUGUGUACGUCACUGGCCAUUGGACUGGCUUCAUUUGCCCACAUUAGGGAGGACCAUCUUUAAGGACAGUUAGUUACCGACUACCCGUAGAACACACUGGGUUUCAUGCAGUGUCUUAGGUGCUGUGGUAUUUACAGGAACGCUAAAGAUAGAUAUAGCUCCUGCUCCCAAAAGAAGGGAUUCAGGACAAGCUAUUGAGAUAGGAUAUAAAGCCAUUAUGUGGGUGUGUGUGUGUGUGUGUGGCUGAGGGUUACCUCUUCCAGGAUGGCCCCACAUUCCAUGUUCAUGAAGGCACUGCUCGCAUCACACAAAACUCCUUUUCUUCCAACCCCUGCUCCUCUGGGACACUUUUUUGAGAUGGUCCCUGAUAUAGUUAGGAUAUUUAUCCCCACCCAAAUCCAUGUUGAAAUGUAAUCACCGAUGGGAGGUGGGCCUGCUGGGAAGUGUUUGAAUCACGGAGGAAGAUGCCUCAUGAAUGGCUUGGGCCAUCCCCUUGGUGAUAAGUGAGCUCUCGCUUGGAGUUCACAUGAAAUUUAGUUAUUUAAAAGUAUGUGGCACCUCCCCCCACCUUGAGCCUGCUUUCACCAUGUGAAGUGCCUGCUCCCCCUUCGCCUUCCACCAUGAACGAAAACUCCCUGAGGCUUCACCAGAAGCUGAGCAGAUGCUAACACCAGGCUUCCUGUACAGCCUGCAGAACCAUGAGCCAAUUAAACCUCUUUUCUUUAUAAAUUACCCAAUCUCAGGUAUUUGUAUAUAGUGAUGCAAGAAUGGACUAAUACAGUCUCUAAAAACCCAAACAUACUUUUUCCAUGUCUGUCUUCUCUGUAUGUUGGAUUGCUUUAUUUGUGCCCCUGAGGUCUCUGGAGGAUCAGAGAGGUUCCCAGAGGACUGAGGUCUUUGACCUCACUGCAGCCACCAGCCGCAGCCCUACACUGUUCACUGCUUCACUCUGGAUACCAUCAGUGGCACAUAUGAGCAGGGCAGAGAGAAGAUGGCCCUUGACUGAGAAUCAGCCCCGCACCCUUCCCUGCGUCUGCCCUCAGAAGCCCUUCCUGCGUCUUCUCUGUGAAGAUGCCUGCAGCACAGUAGGCCCUGCCUGCUCCUCUGAGGCUGGUGUAGAGCUGCCCUGCCUGCCAGGCUGCAGCUUUGGUCACCCUGCCCAGAAAGCCUUCUCUCUUGGCUCUCACAGACCCCGGCUUGUGGGCUUAGGUUUCUUCAUGUCAUUCCUAGGCCUUCUGGGCAUCCAGGCAGUCUUGCAUACUUGGAUAUUCAGCUGAGCUUCCUAGGGGCAGUGAUCAUGUCUUAGGCAUUCUGUGUUACUCAGUGCCUAGCAUUUGAAGAAACUAAUUCUAGCUGGGUGUGGUGGCUCACGCCUAUAAUCCCAGCACUUUGGGAGGCCAAGGCGGGAGGAUUGCUUGAGCCCAGAAGUUCAAGAGCAGCCUGGGCGUGGUGGCACGCGUCUGUGGUCCCAGCCACUCAGGAAGCUGAGGCAGGAGGAUUGCUUGAGCCAUCACUGCAGAUGGAGGCUGCAGUGAGCCGUGAUCAUGCCGCUGAACUCCAGCCUGGGUAACAGAGCGAGACACUGUUGCAUCUCAGACUUGUUUCUGACUUUAUGCCGCCUUUCUUUAACUGCUGUCUUUCUCCAGCUUUGUGGUGUGCUUAUGGGCCCUCCUCUGUCUGUGUCACUAGCUCCCCCAGGUGCUCAGCCCCUCCUCCUCACCUCUCCUGGCCCAGGGCUACCUGGAUUGGGUAGUGACUUCCUUUCAGGCAUCCCUGAGGCCUCCCCGAAAACUAGAUGUUCAUCACAUCUACUCCUCCCAACUUUCCUCACUUCCUUUCCAUGAAAAUGUCAUGAAACACGCAUUUUGUACUGAAUUUGUAUCUAUUUAUUCAUGCACCAGACUCCUUCCACUACAAAUUUGCCUGCAGAGUUGGAGUAGAGAGUAUGUUAAGUCAGAUUACAUUUGAAUUAAUUAUCCAUAUAUUAAGAGUGCGGAUCACACUCUAGGCACGUAUCAAGCACUCAGUAAGUUUAACAAGUGGACCAUGAUUUGAAGUGAGGUGCCAUUCGGUUCUGAGGAGUCCAAGAAAAUACCCAAAAGUUAGUAUUUUCAGGCCCAAGGGCACCCAGAGAGCUUAUUAGACUAAGCCGGGCAUCUUGUUUGGCCCCUGUAGAGCUCUGAAAAAUGCCGUGAGCCAGUUAGUCCCCAACAGCUGAGAGUAAUGCCACGAGUGCCUGGAGUACUUUCCCAAUGAGAUCCAAAAGGUAGAAAGAAAUCUGUGAAAGUUUCC
rnacentral:lncRNA from 1 species